rnacentral:misc_RNA from 1 species
GAUGAAGAACGUAGCGAAAUGCGAUAAGUAAUGUGAAUUGCAGAAUUCAGUGAAUCAUCGAAUCUUUGAACGCACAUUGCGCCCCCUGGUAUUCCGGGGGGCAUGCCUGUUCGAGCGUCAUUUCACCACUCAAGCCUCGCUUGGUAUUGGGCAACGCGGUCCGCCGCGUGCCUCAAAUCGACCGGCUGGGUCUUCUGUCCCCUAAGCGUUGUGGAAACUAUUCGCUAAAGGGUGUUCGGGAGGCUACGCCGUAAAACAACCCCAUUUCUAAGGUUGACUCGGAUCAGGUAGGGAUACCCGCUGAACUUAAGCAUAUCAAUAAGCGGAGGA